AGUGAACGCUGGCGGUAGGCCUAACACAUGCAAGUCGAACGGCAGCACAGUAAGAGCUUGCUCUUACGGGUGGCGAGUGGCGGACGGGUGAGGAAUACAUCGGAAUCUACUUUUUCGUGGGGGAUAACGUAGGGAAACUUACGCUAAUACCGCAUACGACCUAAGGGUGAAAGCAGGGGAUAUUCGGACCUUGCGCGAAUGAAUGAGCCGAUGUCGGAUUAGCUAGUUGGCGGGGAAAAGGCCCACCAAGGCAACGAUCCGUAGCUGGUCUGAGAGGAGGAUCGGCCACACUGGAACGGGACCACGGUCCAGACUCCUACGGGAGGCAGAAGUGGGGAACAUUGGACAAUGGGCGCAAGCCGAAUCCAGCCAUACCGCGGGGGUGAAGAAGGCCUUCGGUUUGAAAAGCCCUUUUGUUGGGAAAGAAAAGCAGCAGGUUAAUACCCCGCUGUUCUGACGGUACCCAAAGAAUAAGCACCGGCUAACUUCGUG
rnacentral:rRNA from 1 species